GAUGAACGCUGGCGGCGUGCCUAAUACAUGCAAGUCGAGCGAACAGACGCGGCGCUUGCUCCUCUGACGUUAGCGGCGGACGGGUGAGUAACACGUGGAUCACCUACCUAUAAGACUGGGAUCACUUCGGGACACCGGAGCUAACACCGGAUAAUCUAUUGCACCGCAUGGUUCAAUAGUGAAAGACGGUUUUGCUGGCACUUAUAGAUGGAUCCGCGCCGGAUUAGCUAGUUGGUAAGUUCACGGCUUAUCACGGCAACUAGGCGUAGCCGACGUGCUAGGGUGGUCGGCCACACGGGAACUGAGACAGCGUCCAGACUCCUACGGGAGGCAGCAGUAGGGAAUCUGCCGCAAUAGGCGAAAGCCUGACGGAACAACGCCGCGUGAGUGAUGAAGGUCUUCGGAUCGUAAAACUCUGUUAUUAGUGAAGAACAAAUGUGUAAGUAACUAUGCACGUCUUGACGGUACCUAAUCAGAAAGCCACGGCUAACUACGUG
rnacentral:rRNA from 1 species